CAACCAUAGGAAAUGAAUACAGUCCUGGAAUCAGGCCACUGCUUAUCCUCACUAUCUGCCUCCAUACACACUUCCAGAGAAGAGUGAAAGGAGCAACUUUGGUUCCUGAUGACAACUUGGACCGAAACAACUUCACCCAUAAAUUGGAAAGCUAGAGUGGCAGAAAGGAGGCUGAUCCCACUUGCUCCCUGUUGUGAAUAGGGGACAAAGCAGGAAACAUAAUAUUAUAAACAAAAUAUAAAGGUGAGUUUUGAGAAGUGAUAUGUUCAGUUAUUUUGUUUUCCCUCCCUCUCUCUUACUUCCUCCUUCUGUCCCUCUCUCUUACUUUCUCCACCAAAAUAAUUAAAUGCAAAAGCUACUUGAGUGCAAUGACAGGUUACACAUUUAAACCCACAGAAGUCAGGAACUGUAGAACUCACAGUCCUUAGGGGGAUGUUGACUUUACCACUUUUAUAUCAUUAUAGUAAGCUAGUCACUUAAUAGCCUAAUUUGUAAUCACAAAUACCGUGGGAAAUUUUGCUAUGGCAACCUCUGGUUUCGGUUUUCCUGACCUCAUUAGUGAUUUUUGAAUGUUGUAACUUUCAGAAAUACAUAUUUUUAGCAUUUAGCAGUCCACAUCACUGGCAGAUUAAAUGACUUAUUAUCCACAUUCUUCUCAGCUCUAUACCCUUCCCAAUAUAUGAUAAACUU